rnacentral:lncRNA from 1 species
GUCAGAUUACCAAAAAAUUACAGAUUCAUGGCUUUGUAUCAAAACGAAAGAAGGUCUGGUUCUCAGUUGAAAGCUUUCAAAUUUUGCAGAAUAAAAAUGGAAACAUAGAUUAAGGUUACUGUGGGAUGGGGUUAGAACAUUGCCUUAAAAUUAUUUGAAUCCUAAAUGUGGAAAAAUUGAUGAAAUACCUCAAGCUCUUCUUCUUC